GAGAUCCCUUCCUUGUGGAGUUUUCCUUGUGAGCCAAGGUGUUCAGAGGCAGCAGGCACUGGAGAACGGAUUCUUUACUUAUACCACCAAGCUGUCCUCUUCAAUGUGCUUUAUUAACGAUCUGAACUACAUCACCAUCCUGCUUAACUGGAGAGAGACUAGGAGAAACCUGAGGUGCCAUGUGGGUAAAAGAGAAUGUUUGGAUAAGUUUUGAGCUGCGCUCUGGAACAGAACAUACAGCUGGAUCUAGAACAGUUGCCAAAGAGGAGUCUGCGGGCAAAUGGUGCUGGAUUCCCAGACAGAGGUCAUAAAGCUCUUUGCUUCCUUGCGAAGUGUUCCUGUAUUAUUCUUACAUAUCUUUGUAUGUUACUGCUGUGCUGAGACUUUUAUGGCAAAUCCAUUCUCUGUUUCCCAGAGGUGAUGCUGAGAAGCUCGCCUCACGAUGACUUAUGCAGACCUCUCAUUUCAUGUUAAUGCUUCCUUUGGGUCCAAAGAAGACCAACUCCUUGAAACCGUGCCUGGGAAUCCCACUGUUGUUCAAAUGGUUGAGCUGUGGUGCUGUGGUCAGAACGCCCUGCCGCAGAUCCUGGCACUGGUUGUGAAUGGAAGAAUUGACGGCAAAUCACUCGAUAUCAAAAUUGAUCUGGUGGAUAUUUACAAGCCUCGGGCGACCCAGGUGGGAUCUCAGAGUUGUGAGGCCAGGAGAAAGAGAGAACAGAGCGCCAGAAGCUGUGGCGCGGCUGCGCGUCAAUCGGGUCGCAGUUGUUUCCGCGGUCUCUGCCGCCCUCACGUGGCCAAUAGGUGGAAUUGUGGCCAUGUACGUUUGGUGCCGCAGGACGCAUGCGCGCAGGCACACGGAAGUGGUGUACGGACGUUCUCGUCGCUCUGCGCAGCAAAUCCGCCGAACUUUGUUAUACCUAGUCCUCCAAGUAGUAGUGCGCAUGUGCCAAAGACUUUUAAAGAAGGAUCAGUUUCUACAAAACUCUGAGGUGCGGGUGAGCAGCCAAUUCCUGGACCACUGGCACAGAAAUGCUUUCCUCUCUUUCACUUUACUGUGCUGCUUGUCUAUUUUCUUGAGCAGUCUGACAAGCUGCCUGUAGAGCAGACUAUCCUGGCUCCCAGCGGACCUUGCGGCCGUUGCAUGCGUAAUGAGGAGUCAAAAACAACGCAUGCGUAGGUGCGUACACGAAAAUGCGCAUGCGAAGUAAUCUCUGCACAUUGCCGCAUGCGCAGUGCUUUCCAGAGACUUGCACAUGCGCAGUGCUGUGCCAAGAGAGGCGCAUGCGCACUGUGGUGCCGCAACAGGCGCAUGCGCAGUGCCGUGUCGGGACUGGCGCAUGCGUAGUAAGGUUUUGAGGCUGGAACAUGCGCAGUGCGUUCCAGACAAUGGCACAUGAGCAAUAUGCUGCCAAGAUCAGCACAUGCGUAGUGCGGUCUCCAGAUUCGCACAUGCGCACUGCGCAACCGAGAGUGGCUCUUGCGGAUUGCAUUGUAGAGUCUCGGGCAUGCGCAGUGCACUGGCAGGACCGGCGCAUGCGCAGUACGGUGCUAAGAGUUGCUCAUGCGUAGUGCAGUGCCAUUACUGGUGCAUGCGUAAUGCAGCGCCCAGGUUCGCGCAUGCGUACCGCUUCCCCGGGAUUUGCCGGUGCCGGGUUGCUGCCGUGUCGGUGCUGCUGCACGCCAGAACCACGACCGCAAAUCUCCGAGCUGCUCCUUUCCACUGCCGCUGAGAGGGCUUUUAAACGGCUGGGGGACGGUGCAGGACUGGGGCGGGAAGGGGACAUCUGCUAGUUCAUCGUGGCGGCGAGCAAAUUGAAUGCCACGAGGAGCUGAGGGGCAGCUCAGCCGAACCGGUCCGAUCCCGGGUGGGUUCGGGCAUAAAACGGCGGAAAUAGACGACGGGCAUCCCGGAUUAGAAGGGGAAGAAUAUCGCGAAGCUGGCGGUCCAAGAAUCGACUGCUUGGCUGUACGGGCGCACGUCCGCUAUUACCUGGAGAACUGAUCACCAUAGAGAGCGGCGGGUUAGCUGCGCAGAGCGGUUAAAACACCACUUCCGGAUUUGUAGGCGCAUGCGUUAUGCUGCUGGCGGGACUCGGUGGGAGACAGCAGCAGUUCCGUGCUUUGGCCACGAGGUGGCAGCAGAGACCGCGGAAAGAACUUCUCUGACGGCAUUGACGGGGACCCGCGGCGCUGUCCUCGGCGAUCCGUUCUGUCUUGCGAUGACGGGGGAAAAACACGAAGUUAGAAGCGGGGGGAAAAGACAAAGAAAACAGAGGGAAAUUACUCCAGACCCUGGAAAGCCGUGCUAAGUGCUUAUGAAUACCUGUUUAAAAAAAAACAAAACAAAAAAAAAAACUUGUUUUUGCCAGUAUGUGUUGCAUUGUUUUUAAAUAUUCACAUACCAAAAUGUAACUGCCCAGCAAAUUUAAUGAUAACGAAAUAAAGCACAUUGGCA